CCCCAGACCAGAAAGGUCCCUCCCAGAAAACAUCUAUUAAAGGCAGCACACGAGGUUGCAAAAACUCCAGCGUAUACUACAACUCCAAUUAUCCAAUAGCCAUGCUGGCUGGGAAGGAUGGGAAACAUAGCUGGCAACACCUAGAGGGUUCAGGGAUAGAAAAGGCUAACUAAGACAUGUCUGGACUCUGGAGCAAAUGGAGGAAAAGCCACUCCUUGUGUUUCCAAAGAUGAUCUGAAUAAGCAUAUCACUCAGAUAAAUGUUAUUAUUAUUUUUUUCUUUCUAGGUUGUGAGUGGCAGGAGGCCACGGACCUCAUGAAAGCCCUGGGGAUGGUGCUACAAAAAAUCUAUUAUGGGAAAGUGACCGCAAAACAAGAAAGGGGGCAGGGACCCAGUGGGGCUGGUGGGUCCAGCCCGGCUGUGCGUGAGCACACAGGAAUUCAGCCUGGCUGGCACCAGCCGCUUGUGGCGUCCGAUGGGAAAAGAGCUUGGUGUGAAGACACAGGUCCCAAGGGAGAAGAUGGUUCUUUUCAUCCAGGCCCCCGCAUUGACACUGUGGUCCCCACCAACCUGGCCGGCUUGUCCCCUCGUCACUUUGUGGUGUACCGUUUCGGCUGCGCGGUGGUCCGCCUGCUGGGAAAAGUCUUCUCUUUCCCAGCAGUGGUACUCCUGCUGGCUCAAGAGAUCCCCAAACCAGGCUCUGUGGAAGUUCAAGACACCCUUCCGUUUGCCAGGGAUUCCUACUAUGAUGCUAGCAAUAGGUUCCUGUACGUCUUGUCCUCACAUCUGGAGAACGCUGGGGGAUUUGCAGCAGUCGUGUUGAACGCCCUGGCGCACCUCAAAGCAGGUAUUCUGGGGAUAUCUAAACAGUGCUCUUUAUCCUGUUGAAUCGUGUCUAACUCCACUGUAGGUCUUUUGCUUUGCACGAUGCCUUCUCACAUUUUUGGAUAUAAGCUGCCGGGCGCUCCCUGCUGUGUUUUCUUUCCCAGCUGCAAUGAGCACCAGAAAUACAAAUAUUGAAGGGCCAAUGGCCAUUUCUGCCCUAAUUGGCCAUCAAAUAAAAGACAUGCAUCACUGCCCCA
rnacentral:lncRNA from 1 species